rnacentral:rRNA from 1 species
UACGGAGGAUGCAAGCGUUAUCCGGAAUCAUUGGGCGUAAAGCGUUCGUAGGUGGCUAUUCAAGUCUGCUGUCAAAGACUGGGGCUUAACCCCAGAAAGGCGGUGGAAACUGAAAGGCUAGAGUGCGGUAGGGGUAGAGGGAAUUCCCGGUGUAGCGGUGAAAUGCGUAGAGCUCGGGAAGAACACCGGUGGCGAAAGCGCUCUACUGGGCCUGCACUGACACUGAGGGACGAAAGCUAGGGGAGCGAAUGGG